rnacentral:rRNA from 1 species
GCGGAGGAAAAGAAACCAACAGGGAUUGCCCCAGUAACGGCGAGUGAAGCGGCAACAGCUCAAAUUUGAAAUCUGGUCCCCUUUGGGGGCCCGAGUUGUAAUUUGAAGAGGAUGCUUUUGGCGAGGCGCCGUCCGAGUUCCCUGGAACGGGACGCCGCAGAGGGUGAGAGCCCCGUACGGUCGGACGCCGAGCCUCUGUAAAGCUCCUUCGACGAGUCGAGUAGUUUGGGAAUGCUGCUCAAAAUGGGAGGUAAACCCCUUCUAAAGCUAAAUACCGGCCAGAGACCGAUAGCGCACAAGUAGAGUGAUCGAAAGAUGAAAAGCACUUUGAAAAGAGAGUUAAAAAGCACGUGAAAUUGUUGAAAGGGAAGCGCUUGCGACCAGACUUGCGCCCGUCGGAUCAACCGUCGCUUGCGGCGGCGCACUCCGGCGGGCUCAGGCCAGCAUCAGUUCGCUCGGGGGGAGAAAGGCGGCGGGAAUGUGGCUCCUCGGAGUGUUAUAGCCCGCCGUGUAAUACCCUCGGGUGGAC